AGCUAGUUGGUGGGGUAAUGGCCCACCAAGGCGAUGAUGGGUAGCUGGUCUGAGAGGAUGGCCAGCCACAUUGGGACUGAGAUACGGCCCAGACUCCUACGGGAGGCAGCAGUGGGGAAUCUUUCGCAAUGGGCGAAAGCCUGACGGAGCGACACCGCGUGGGGGAUGAAGGCCUUCGGGUUGUAAACCCCUUUUCUGGGGGAAGAAUAAGGGCGGGAGGAAAUGCCCGUCCGAUGACGGUACCCCAGGAAUAAGCAUCGGCUAACUUCGUGCCAGCAGCCGCGGUAAGACGAAGGAUGCGAGCGUUAUCCGGAAUUACUGGGCGUAAAGGGCGUCUAGGCGGCUGAGCAAGUCACCUGUGAAAGCCCUCGGCUCAACCGAGGAAUGGCGGGUGAUACUGUUCGUUCGAGUGCAGGAGAGGGGGGUGGAACUCACAGAGUAGCGGUGAAAUGCGUAGAUACUGNGAGGUACCCCGAUGGCGAAGGCAACCCCCUGGCCUGCUACUGACGCUGAAGCGCGAAAGCGUGGGGAGCGAAGGGGAUUAGAUACCCCCGUAGUCCACGCCCCAAACGAUGUUCACUUGGUGUCGGUCGCUUAGAUUGAUCGGUGCCGAAGCUAACGCGUUAAGUGAACCGCCUGGGGAGUACGGCCGCAAGGCUAGAACUCAAGAGAAUUGACGGGUCCCCGCACAAGCGGUGGAGCACGUGGUUUAAUUCGAUGCUAAACGAAGAACCUCACCUGGGCUUGACAUGCUAGUGGUAGGAACCGGAAACGGGGACGACCCCUGCCUUCGGGUAGGGGAGCUAGCACAGGUGAUGCAUGGCUGUCGUCAGCUCGUGUCGUGGGACGUAGGGUUAAGUCCCGGAACGAGCGCAACCCCUGUCGUCAGUUGCCAGCGGGUAAUGCCGGGGACUCUGACGAGACUGCCGGUGAAUAGCCGGAGGAAGGAGGGGAUGACGUCAAGUCAUCAUGUCCCUUAUGCCCAGGGCGACACACAUGCUACAAUGGGGGGUACAAAGGGUUGCAAACCCGCAAGGGGGAGCCAAUCCCAAAAAGCCCUCCUCAGUUCGGAUUGAGGUCUGCAACUCGACCUCAUGAAGCCGGAAUCGCUAGUAAUCGCGGGUCAGCCAUACCGCGGUGAAUAUGUACUCGGGGAUUGUACACACCGCCCGUCA
rnacentral:rRNA from 1 species